rnacentral:rRNA from 1 species
AAAACAUUUAUGUGUUAUUUACUUAAGAGGCGAGUAAAUAGGAGAAAAAGGUGCUCAUAUAUCUAAGACUAAAUGUUAGUUCCAUACUGAAAGAGGGAGUACUGUAAAGGAAAGUUGAAAGAGACUUGAAAAGACCUUGAAAUCUGUCUUUAAAAGCAGCUGUGAGACAGCGUACCUUUUGUAUAAUGGGUUUAUAAGAUAUAGUUUGGCAAAUUUAAGUUUUCAAUGAAGGUGAAGAGAAGUCGAGGGGGGCUCUUUUUAGUCAAAUUACCCGAAACCAAGUGAUCUAACCAUGGGCAGUUUAAAGGAACGAACCGGUGGUUGUAGCAAAAACCUCGGAGGACCUGUGGUUGGGGGGGNNAAAACCCAAUCGAACUUGGACAUAGCUGGUUUUCUGCGAAAACUAUUGAAGUAGUGCGUUCACAAUAGAGUCCUUUUUUAUGGUAAAGUUUGAUCGCUUGAAAGGGGGAUAGACUAUGGAGGUAAAAAUCGAAGUGGAUAGACAGACAGUGGGCAAGAAGGUCUGUUGUCAAAGGGGGAGAGCCCUAAUCAGAAGUUAAAGUCAUAGAUCGCAAAUCGUUAAGUGUAAAAGGAGUGUGGAACUUAGACAAUGAGGAGGUAGGCCUGGAGCCAGUCAUCUUUGAAAGAGCGCGUAGUAGUUCACUCAAGAACUUUUUUUCCCCUAAAAUUAUGGUGGCUAAGCAUUGAGCUGAANCUC